rnacentral:sRNA from 1 species
GCCGGGCGUGGUGGCGGGCGCCUGUAAUCCCAGCUACUCAGGAGGCUGAGGCAGGAGAAUGGCGUGAACCCGGGAGGCGGAGCUUGCAGUGAGCCGAGAUCGUGCCACUGCACUCCAGCCUGGGUGACAGAGCAAGACUCUGCCUCAA